GAUCAUUCUACAAUGUAGGAAAUCUUCUACACUAUGUCAGGACCCUUCUCCACUAUGUCAGGACCCUUUUACACUAUGUCAGGAUCAUUCUACAAUUAGGAAAUCUUCUACACUAUGUCAGGACCCUUCUCCACUAUGUCAGUACCCUUCUCCACUAUGUCAGGACCCUUCUAAUCUAUGUCAGGACCCUUCUACACUAUGUCAGGACCCUUCUACACUUUAGGAAAUCUUCUACACUAGAAGAGAAAGAGAAAGAGGAAACAGAGAGGAGGAAAGAGAGAGAGAACGAGAGGAGGAGAGAGAGAGAGAGCGAGAGAGAGAGAAAGAGAGAAAGAAACUGAGAGAGGAGGAGAGAGAGGUGAGGCAAUGAAGGAUAGAGGAGUGAGAGGAAGAUUGUGCCAGAACUCAGUGAGUGCAGCUAAAUCUCUCAGAGCUCAGUCAAUAAAACAGAGGGCUCUUAGAAAACAAACCCUUCUCCACUAUGUCAGGACCCUUCUAUGCUAUGUCAGGACCCUUCUACACUAUGUCAGGACCCUUCUAAUCUAUGUCAGGACCCUUCUACACUAUGUCUGGACCCUUCUACGCUGUAGGAAACGUUCUACACUAUGUCAGGAGCCUUCUCUACUAUGUCAGGACCCUUCUCCACUAUGUCAGGACCCUUCUACGCUAUGUCAGGACCCUUCUACACUAUGUCAGGACCCUUCUACACUUUAGGAAAUCUUCUACACUAGAAGAGAAAGAGAAAGAGGAAACAGAGAGGAGGAAAGAGAGAGAGAACGAGAGGAGGAGAGAGAGAGCGAGAGAGAGAGAAAGAGAAAGAAACUGAGAGAGGAGGAGAGAGAGAGAGAGAGAGAGAGAGAGAGAGAGAGAUAGAAGGAAACAGAGAGAGGAGGAGAGAGAGAGAAAGAGAGAGAGAGAAAGAGAGAAAGAGAGAGAGGAGGAGAGAGAGGUGAGGCAAUGAAGGAUAGAGGAAGAGAGAGAGAGAGAGAGAGAUAGAAGGAAACAGAGAGAGGAGGAGAGAGAGAGAAAGAGAGAGAGAGAGGGGAGACAAGGAAGGAUAGAGGAGUGAGAGGAAGAUUGUGCCAGAACUCAGUGAGUGCAGCUAAAUCUCUCAGAGCUCAGUCAAUAAAACAGAGGGCUCUUAGAAAACAAACCCUUCUCCACUAUGUCAAGACCCUUCUACACUAUGUCAGGACCCUUCUACACUAUGUCAGGACCCUUUUACACUAUGUCAGGACACUUCUACACUAUGUCAGGACCCUUCUACACUAUGUCAG
rnacentral:lncRNA from 1 species